AAAGAAAUUUAGAGAGAAGAAGAAUUGUUAAGAAAAAGGGUGGGAGACUGAGUUUGUGGAUAUAGUGGAAAAUUGGGAAAACACCUUAUAUUUCUAGCAAAAGCUUUGGUGUCAAGGUAGGGGGUUUCUUGGGGCAUUUACGGAGAUUGAUUUAAUUAAAUUUCGUGAACUUUAUAUUAUGUAUGAUAUUAUAAUGGAUGUUCUUGAUAUUACAGUUUGAUUAAUGUUCCUUGUAUUGGGUGUUUACAUACUCUUAACUAUUUGAACAAUGUUGGCAUAGUUAUAUAUGCAUUGGUGAUAUUUUAAAUGGUUACAUUGUUGUAAGAUAUAUAGGAUAUGUGAAAGGCAUAAUUAUAUCAUGUCAUGUAAAUUGGUUGGAGUUGUUGGAUUGAGAAAAUAAUGAUGGAAAAGAGGGUAAUGAAAAUAGUCUUUUGUGUAGUUAAGUCUAACUCUUGGCAGGUACCAGGUCUCAUGGAUCUCGCAACGCACAUGGUUUUUAUUGGGUGAUUCGGGACUGGCGACAGGGAGUUAGACAAGAUAACUAACAAAAGGGGAAUUAUGGGAUGAUUGAAAUAGGUGUUAGUUCAUACAAAUGGGCAUUCAGGACCAAGUGGUAUAAACAUGGUAUGAGACGUGCUGGUAUGCU
rnacentral:lncRNA from 1 species